rnacentral:rRNA from 1 species
AUGAACGCUAGCUACAGGCUUAACACAUGCAAGUCGAGGGGCAGCAUGGUCUUAGCUUGCUAAGGCCGAUGGCGACCGGCGCACGGGUGAGUAACACGUAUCCAACCUGCCGUCUACUCUUGGACAGCCUUCUGAAAGGAAGAUUAAUACAAGAUGGCAUCAUGAGUCCGCAUGUUCACAUGAUUAAAGGUAUUCCGGUAGACGAUGGGGAUGCGUUCCAUUAGAUAGUAGGCGGGGUAACGGCCCACCUAGUCUUCGAUGGAUAGGGGUUCUGAGAGGAAGGUCCCCCACAUUGGAACUGAGACACGGUCCAAACUCCUACGGGAGGCAGCAGUGAGGAAUAUUGGUCAAUGGGCGAGAGCCUGAACCAGCCAAGUAGCGUGAAGGAUGACUGCCCUAUGGGUUGUAAACUUCUUUUAUAAAGGAAUAAAGUCGGGUAUGGAUACCCGUUUGCAUGUACUUUAUGAAUAAGGAUCGGCUAACUCCGUGCCAGCAGCCGCGGUAAUACGGAGGAUCCGAGCGUUAUCCGGAUUUAUUGGGUUUAAAGGGAGCGUAGAUGGAUAUUUAAGUCAGUUGUGAAAGUUUGCGGCUCAACCGUAAAAUUGCAGUUGAUACUGGAUAUCUUGAGUGCAGUUGAGGCAGGCGGAAUUCGUGGUGUAGCGGUGAAAUGCUUAGAUAUCACGAAGAACUCCGAUUGCGAAGGCAGCCUGCUAAGCUGCAACUGACAUUGAGGCUCGAAAGUGUGGGUAUCAAACAGGAUUAGAUACCCUGGUAGUCCACACGGUAAACGAUGAAUACUCGCUGUUUGCGAUAUACUGCAAGCGGCCAAGCGAAAGCGUUAAGUAUUCCACCUGGGGAGUACGCCGGCAACGGUGAAACUCAAAGGAAUUGACGGGGGCCCGCACAAGCGGAGGAACAUGUGGUUUAAUUCGAUGAUACGCGAGGAACCUUACCCGGGCUUAAAUUGCAGAUGAAUUACGGUGAAAGCCGUAAGCCGCAAGGCAUCUGUGAAGGUGCUGCAUGGUUGUCGUCAGCUCGUGCCGUGAGGUGUCGGCUUAAGUGCCAUAACGAGCGCAACCCUUGUUGUCAGUUACUAACAGGUUCCGCUGAGGACUCUGACAAGACUGCCAUCGUAAGAUGUGAGGAAGGUGGGGAUGACGUCAAAUCAGCACGGCCCUUACGUCCGGGGCUACACACGUGUUACAAUGGGGGGUACAGAGGGCCGCUACCACGCGAGUGGAUGCCAAUCCCCAAAACCUCUCUCAGUUCGGACUGGAGUCUGCAACCCGACUCCACGAAGCUGGAUUCGCUAGUAAUCGCGCAUCAGCCACGGCGCGGUGAAUACGUUCCCGGGCCUUGUACACACCGCCCGUCAAGCCAUGGGAGCCGGGGGUACCUGAAGUGCGUAACCGCUAGGAGCGCCCUAGGGUAAAACUGGUGACUGGGGCU